rnacentral:rRNA from 1 species
UACGAGGGGAGCAAGCGUUGUUCGGAUUUACUGGGCGUAAAGGGCUCGUAGGCGGCCAACUAAGUCAGACGUGAAAUCCCUCGGCUUAACCGGGGAACUGCGUCUGAUACUGGAUGGCUUGAGUUCGGGAGAGGGAUGCGGAAUUCCAGGUGUAGCGGUGAAAUGCGUAGAUAUCUGGAGGAACACCGGUGGCGAAGGCGGCAUCCUGGACCGAUACUGACGCUGAUGAGCGAAAGCCAGGGGAGCAAACGGG